AGUGAACGCUAGCGGUAGGCCUAACACAUGCAAGUCGAACGGCAGCACAGUAAGAGCUUGCUCUUACGGGUGGCGAGUGGCGGACGGGUGAGGAAUACAUCGGAAUCUACUUUUUCGUGGGGGAUAACGUAGGGAAACUUACGCUAAUACCGCAUACGACCUACGGGUGAAAGCAGGGGAUCUUCGGACCUUGCGCGAUUGAAUGAGCCGAUGUCGGAUUAGCUAGUUGGCGGGGUAAAGGCCCACCAAGGCGACGAUCCGUAGCUGGUCUGAGAGGAUGAUCAGCCACACUGGAACUGAGACACGGUCCAGACUCCUACGGGAGGCAGCAGUGGGGAAUAUUGGACAAUGGGCGCAAGCCUGAUCCAGCCAUACCGCGUGGGUGAAGAAGGCCUUCGGGUUGUAAAGCCCCUUUGUUGGGAAAGAAAAGCAGCAGGUUAAUACCCCGCUGUUCUGACGGUACCCAAAGAAUAAGCACCGGCUAACUUCGUG
rnacentral:rRNA from 1 species